CCCUCUGCAGGAAACCAUCUUCAUCCACUGUAGUACUGCGGUGUGCCAUCCAUCUUCUGGCUCCUGUGAGCAAAGCUGCGGCAGGAAGAGAAGGGACACUCGUGU